GUGGGGAAUCUUGCGCAAUGGGCGAAAGCCUGACGCAGCCAUGCCGCGUGAAUGAUGAAGGUCUUAGGAUUGUAAAAUUCUUUCACCGGGGACGAUAAUGACGGUACCCGGAGAAGAAGCCCCGGCUAACUUCGUGCCAGCAGCCGCGGUAAUACGAAGGGGGCUAGCGUUGCUCGGAAUUACUGGGCGUAAAGGGCGCGUAGGCGGACAGUUUAGUCAGAGGUGAAAGCCCAGGGCUCAACCUUGGAAUUGCCUUUGAUACUGGCUGUCUUGAGUACGGGAGAGGUGAGUGGAACUCCGAGUGUAGAGGUGAAAUUCGUAGAUAGUCGGAAGAACACCAGUGGCGAAGGCGACUCACUGGCCCGUUACUGACGCUGAGGCGCGAAAGCGUGGGGAGCAAACAGGAUUAGAAACCCGUGUAGUCC
rnacentral:rRNA from 1 species